GUCGGCGACUCUUGUAAAUGACAAUGUCAACCGACCAUCGUACGACGACACUACUGUCGAUCCGAUCGAUGUCGCAAAAGAUAAACGACUGUCAUCGUAAUUCCGUUUAUUUACAAAUACUGGGAAUCGCGGCUGGUACGUAUGUUUUGAAUCAGUAUAGAGGAUUGACGCGUAGAUAGCGGAUCGUCGCAAGUUCGUGCACCGUCGUCGACAUGCGACACGGAACCCCAUAUGGUAUCCAGUCCUCGUCUCUACCUCUCUAAAAAUAGUGUUGAUAAAUUAUCGAUCUACAAACAGUGAUGUUACAGUAUUACCUACCAUAACGAUCGAGUAAAACACGACGGGUUCAUUCUCUUUAUCUGUUAAAUGGCGCCACCAUUCACUUUCUGCACCCAAUUUGUUGAUAAUUAGUUACUGUACAAUCUUCCGUGCGUUUCACGAUACCUAAUUGUUCCAAAUAUUACAAUGUAAAUAAAAAAUGAAGGAAACAAAGGAAAA